AUCCUGGCUCAGGAUGAACGCUAGCGGCAGGCUUAACACAUGCAAGUCGAGGGGCAGCGCGAUGUAGCAAUACAUUGGCGGCGACCGGCGCACGGGUGCGUAACACGUAUGGAACUUACCCUUUACUGGGAGAUAGCCCGGAGAAAUCCGGAUUAAUAUCCCAUAAUAAACGAAGUGGCAUCACUUUGUUUUGAAAGCUCCGGCGGUAAAGGAUGGCCAUGCGCACGAUUAGCUAGUAGGUGAGGUAACGGCUCACCUAGGCUACGAUCGUUAGGGGGCCUGAGAGGGUUAUCCCCCACACUGGUACUGAGACACGGACCAGACUCCUACGGGAGGCAGCAGUGAGGAAUAUUGCGCAAUGGAGGCAACUCUGACGCAGCCAUGCCGCGUGCAGGAAGAAGGCGCUACGCGUUGUAAACUGCUUUUAACCGGGAAGAAACCCUCCGACGUGUCGGAGGUUGACGGUACCGGAGGAAUAAGCACCGGCUAACUUCGUG
rnacentral:rRNA from 1 species